rnacentral:rRNA from 1 species
UAGGGAAUCUUCGGCAAUGGACGAAAGUCUGACCGAGCAACGCCGCGUGAGUGAAGAAGGUUUUCGGAUCGUAAAACUCUGUUGUUAGAGAAGAACAAGGACGUUAGUAACUGAACGUCCCCUGACGGUAUCUAACCAGAAAGCCACGGCUAACUACGUGCCAGCAGCCGCGGUAAUACGUAGGUGGCAAGCGUUGUCCGGAUUUAUUGGGCGUAAAGCGAGCGCAGGCGGUUUCUUAAGUCUGAUGUGAAAGCCCCCGGCUCAACCGGGGAGGGUCAUUGGAAACUGGGAGACUUGAGUGCAGAAGAGGAGAGUGGAAUUCCAUGUGUAGCGGUGAAAUGCGUAGAUAUAUGGAGGAACACCAGUGGCGAAGGCGGCUCUCUGGUCUGUAACUGACGCUGAGGCUCGAAAGCGGGGGGAGCAGACAGG